CUGCGGUCAUAUCACGUUGAAACACCGAUUCUCGUACGAUCACCGAAGUUAAGCAACGUUGAGCCUGGUCAGUACCUAGAAGGGCGACCACUUGAGAAUACCAAGUGCUGUAAG